GGAAGGUAACCGAACUGGCUCAGGAAGCUGGUUGCUAACCAGUCGCCCGAUCAAGGGUUGGAUAGGGUUCGAUUCCCCCACCUUCCG
rnacentral:tRNA from 1 species